UCUUUAAGAGGCAGUCUACGAUAGAACCAUGCAAAAUCAAAAUUUUAUAAUGAAGGGUGUAGAUUAAUUUUCAUAGUUUAUCUGGAUAUAUCUAAAGUAUAUUGUCUAUUUUAUCAAAUUUUCAUGGUUAAAUUUAUCUGCACCACUGAAAUCCCCCAGAUAAGACCAUUUCUAUUUUUAGCUCAUUAUUCAUAAUAAAUUUCAUGCAUGAAUAAGGCUAAUUUCAUAGAGUCAUUUAAGUAUUAAAUAGAGUUUAAUCAUACAUGGAGUCAGAUUCACAUAACAUCUGAUACAAAUACCUUUGAUUUGGUGCACACAUAUUUUUUAAUUCAUUCGUUGAUUUUAAGCUAGAUGAUCAAAUAUUAUAAUAAGAUAGGUAAUGUCCAAAACACACUACUUCUCUUAGUAGGAUAUAAAACCUCAAGAAACGUUUUAAAUUUAGAGUUUCUUGGUUCAAACAAUAGAAUUAUCCAUAAAAAAAUAUAUUUGAAUGGGAAUUUGGUUGCAAAUAAAUAUUAAGCUUAUAUUCCGGUGUUUAAAUUCGGGAUUUUUACAAAUUAAAUUAUCUCCCUUUGUGGAACUCUCGUGUAAAGAAGAUAAAGAAGAAUGAUUGGAGAAAGCCAGAUGUCAACAAAAUGGAUGGUUUGAAAUGUAGUUUUGGUGAAAAUUGUAAAGAGAAAGCAGAAAAUAUACUUUAGGAUUGUAAGAAAAACACUUCAGCAUACUUGAGAUUUUUUAAAUGUACCUCUGAGUCAGAUUUUGUACAAAUACCAGAAUCAUCGUGCUGGUGUGCAUGGGUUGAGGCUGUCAAUUUUCAGCGGGCGUACAUGUGCUAAACACAGGCAGGAAUAUGGAAUUCAGUGGAAAAGGAAAAGGAGAACAUGCUGUCAUUCACUACAUAAACAAUCUCAAUCUGGCAUAAUCGCGAGUGGAAUUACAUUCAUUCAAAGCCGAGAGAUAUGGAUGAAGCUGAGCACACAUUUUCCAACUGGUUCUGGUGUUCGCAGAAAACGCAUUGAGAGAAAACUGUGUCAAGAUUAAUACAGAUCUGAAGGAGGAGUUGAAAGAUUUUGAUCUUCUGUCAUCUCAGAAAACUGUGGGGUCUGAUCAGUCCAAAGAUGAAAGAACAGAGCAUGAAAUCUUAAAUGAAGCUGUGAAAUUAUUGUCAUAUGGAAAGUACUCCCCUGUAAAAUCACAGCCAUCUAUGAAUCUUGAUCAACUUCAGUAUUCAAAGAGAAUUGUGAUACAUGCAUGAAUUCAUAUUAUUAUAUUUUCAUGUUAAAUACUACUCGAAAACCAUUGUCAACCUCCGCUUCGCGUCGGUUGACAAUGGUGUCCUUGGGGUGUCAAUUUCAACUGUUACCCUCCCAAACAGGCACUAUUUAUAUAAUGUUAGUCCUCUAAUAGCACUACAUGUGUAUGAGUUGAUGACGUAAGUCUUCUAAUAGCGCUACAGGUCUAAAUUGAUUAUUUUAGGCCAUUAAUAGACAAACAUGUAUCAAUUGAGGAUGUAAGCUAGAUAAUAGCACUUCAUUAAUGAUUUGAUGAUAAGAGUUGUCUAACAUCACUUGUAUGAAUUGAUGAUGUUAUUUGGCCAAAAGUGCUACAUGUAUGAAUGUUGGCUAGUAGCUCUAUACAUGUAUGAAUUAAUGAUGUUAGUUAUUUAAUAGUGCUACAUGUAUGAAUUGAUAAUUUUAUUUGUCUAAUAGUGCUACAAGAAGGAAUUGAUGAUGUAAGUUUGCUAAAAACAUUACAUAAUUAAUAUAUGAAUUGAUGUUGUCUGUUCUAUAAUAGCAUUUCAUGUACGAAUGAUGAUGUUAGUCCUCUAUUAGCACUACACAUAUAUGAAUUGAUAAUGUUUUUGUACUAAUAGCGCUACAGGUAUGAAUUGAUUGUUAUUUGGCCAAUAGCGCUACGUGUAUCAAUUGAGGAUGUAAACUUUAUGAAUGAUUUGAUGAUAAAAGUUGACUUAUAGCACUAGUGUGAAUUGAUGGUGUUACCUGGCUAGCUAAUAAAUGUUAUUUAGCUUUUAGUGCAACAUGUAUGAAUGAUGAUAAAGGUUGUUCAAUAGCACUACAUGUAUGAAUUUAUGAUUUUAUUUGACUAAAAGAUAAGUGCUACAUGUGUGAAUUGUUGGUGUUUGGUUAUUAGUGCUACAUGUAUAAAUUGAUGGUAAUACAUGUAUUUGUCUAACAGUGUUAAAUGUAUGAAUUGAAAAUAGAUGUCUUAUACGGCUACAUGUAUAAAUUAAUGAUUUUAUUUGACUAAUAGCACUACAUGUAUGAAUUGAUGUUGUUAUUUGGCCAAAAGUGAUACAUGUAUUAAUUGAUAAUAGUUGUCCACUAUUGCUACAUGUAUAAAUUGAUGAUUUUACUUGACUAAUAGCACUACAUGUAUUAUUGAUGAUGUUAUUUGGCUAAUAGGGAUACAUGUAUUAAUUGAUGAUGAUAACUUUCUAAAUUUAAAUUAAUUGCACAUCUCUGUCUUUUUUUCGUAUGUAACUGAAUAAUGAAUAUUUCAAUUCACUGAUUUUGUAUCUUUUUUUCUGAAAUUAAAAUUCUCUUUCCGAUGUAUUCAUUGUAGGUUGAAAUUUGGUUGUAUUGCAUAUUUUAUUUCAUAGCUUUGUAAACAAUGGCUUCUCAUAUUUCAUGAAAAUAACUGCAAUAAUUUGGUCUUUGCUUUUUGCUCCAUUUGAAGCAAAGGCUCAUUACAAGUAUUUCUUAUAAAUGAGUGUUACAUGUAGGCUUUUCAGGAUUUUUUUUCAUAUCAGGUGGUUAUAUGUACAUUUUGAAGUUUAUAACUGUAACAAAUAAUCCAUGAAUAUUAAACAGGUUAUUUAUUAAGUUAAAGAUUGUUAUUUGCUGUGUUCUUCUCAGAUAUCAUCUUAACAAUAUACUUAUGUUGUAAACUCUGCUCAAAAAUACAAAUGUAUAUGAUAAAAAAAUGUUUGAUAUGUACAUUCAUUUAAAUUUGAAUACAUGUAACAUGAAAUCCAUUGUUAUUGUAUUUUAACAGUUUUAUGUCAAAGCGGAUGCUUAUAUAAAUUGAGGUGCUGUGGGACAUAAUUCGAUUUUAAUAUGGAUUAAUGUACAUUGUGAUUGAAAUACUUUCACUGGUUUAAAAUUUUCAAAUUUUACAAUAUUUAACCAAAAAAGAGCUUUUAAAAAUAUUUGGAGAGGUAAAAAUUGUAAAAACCCAGAGAGGGAGUCAAACUCAUGACUUACAGAUUCGUAGUACACCCUCUAACCCACUGCGCGUCGCUGUUAGGUGACACACUUAAUGGUCCAAGUUUCCUUUCAAUUGCAGCCCCCCCCCCCUGCCUGAGGGCAAUUCAUAGUAAUUCUGUGUGUUUAAUUUUUAAGACUACUUAAUUCUCC